rnacentral:rRNA from 1 species
UAACGAAUCUUCCGCAAUGGGCGAAAGCCUGACGGAGCAAUGCCGCGUGUGGGAUGAAGCGCCUUCGGCGUGUAAACCACUGUCAGGGAAUGGAACCAAUGAUUAUUCCCAAAGGAAGUGGCGACUAACUCUGUGCCAGCAGUCGCGGUAAUACAGAGGCCACAAGCGUUAGUCGGAAUCACUGGGCUUAAAGGGUGCGUAGGCGGGCCCGCAAGCGUCUUGUGAAAUCCCAUGGCUCAACCAUGGAAUUGCAGGGCGAACUGCGGGUCUUGAGGCAGGUAGGGGCCGGAAGAACAGUAGGUGGAGCGGUGAAAUGCGUAGAUAUCUACUGGAAUGCCGAUGGGGAAGCCGUCCGGCUGGGCCUGUCCUGACGCUGAGGCACGAAAGCGUGGGGAGCAAACAGGAUUAGAUACCCAUGUAGUCCCUGAGCGGGCUGGCAAGGCGCAU